rnacentral:lncRNA from 1 species
AUAAAUCUUCUGCCGUUUACCAUUUUGGUCAUCUCCGUUAGUUUUUAACAUAAAAAAUCUAAGGUGAACCAUAUUUAAAGAUGGUUCACCGUAGAUCUUAUUAAAUUUUCUAAUUUUAACCAUUUGAUUUUUUCUUUAAAUGAGAACCGUUGAAUUAUGUCGGGUCUAUUAUACUUUACUGUGAAUCAUUAACACCUAAUACUUUUAUCAUUUUCUUCAUCUUCAUCUCUCAUCUUCUUCUUCUUCAUCUUCAUCAAUCCUAUCCAGGAAAAAGCAGUAGCACCAUAUUGAAAACUCAAACUAAAACAAAAAUAAAUUUCAUCAAAUUAAAACACUUAAACAUUCAAAUAGAAUUAAAACCCAGAUUUUUUUUUCUACAAAAAUCCAGAAAUCAUCAUCAAUAGAGCAACAACACAUCAAGAAAUCAAAUUCAACCCUUUUUAAUUCUUUUCAUCAUCAUCAUCAUGAAUUAAAAAAAAAUAGAUUUCUCCAAAUUCAGCACAUCAACAACACAACAACAACAUGGUGCUUUGAAACAACAACAACAACAUCAUAAAAAAAAAAAGUGUGAAAAUGGAAUAUGCAUGAUUUCCAUUAAUUUCAAUUUCAUUUUCUUUCAGCAGAAAGAAAGAACAAUAAUCUGGUUUUGUUUUGUAU